rnacentral:misc_RNA from 1 species
UCCGGUUUGUCACCGGCAGUCUCCCUAGAGUGCCCAACUGAAUGUAGCAACUAAGGACAAGGGUUGCGCUCGUUGCGGGACUUAACCCAACAUCUCACGACACGAGCUGACGACAGCCAUGCAGCACCUGUGUUCCCGUUCCCUUUCGGGCACCCCCAGCUCUCACCAGGGUUCAGGACAUGUCAAGGGUAGGUAAGGUUGUUCGCGUUGCAUCGAAUUAAUCCACAUCAUCCACCGCUUGUGCGGGUCCCCGUCAAUUCCUUUGAGUUUUAAUCUUGCGACCGUACUCCCCAGGCGGUCAACUUCACGCGUUAGCUGCGGUACUAGAAGAUUGCUCUCCCAACACCUAGUUGACAUCGUUUAGGGCGUGGACUAC